UACGAAGGGGGCUAGCGUUGCUCGGAAUUACUGGGCGUAAAGGGCUCGUAGGUGGCCAACUAAGUCAGACGUGAAAUCCCUCGGCUUAACCGGGGAACUGCGUCUGAUACUGGAUGGCUUGAGUUGGGGAGAGGGAUGCGGAAUUCCAGGUGUAGCGGUGAAAUGCGCAGAUAUCAGGAGGAACACCAAUAGCGAAGGCAGCUCGCUGGGACGGUAUUGACGCUAAGGCGCGAAAGCGUGGGGAGCAAACAGG
rnacentral:rRNA from 1 species